rnacentral:piRNA from 1 species
UACCGUCAGGACCUCCAGUUGAGCA